GGCUUUUCGGUUUUCCUUGUUCUCCUCAACCCCUGAAAUCUUCCAUAACUGGUUUCAUAGCCCUACAAUAUUGUUUUCGAAAUUUCAAUACGGAUUGACAAUUGAGAAGUCGAGUGUCUAAUGCGCAACUUUUUACAAGAUUUCACUCGGUUUUGUGAUAAUUGGCAUUUUUGCGUGGUUCAACAUUUCAAAUUUUUCUUCGAGUUCAUUGUGUUGAAGCCCUUGAAACUCCAAUUGUGGGCAAAUACAAGUAUAGUGGAUUUGUCUAUCGCAAAUGGAAGCAGAUGCUAAGAGUAGAUAUUGAGCCGACAAUAAGGAAAACCUACAGAAUGGAGAGGCCAGGAGGUUUGGCUGUUCAGAAAGGAAAUGUCUUAUCUAAAGUCCCUUUACUACAUCUGCAUUGUAGGGAGCUUGUUCUCCUAAUAUUGUCAAAUUUAUUGAGCUUCAUGGUCGAAAAAACGAUGAAACACUUCAAUUAUAGCUCAAAACCAGAUCUCCUCCGGUUUGUGUCCUUCUGGGUGUGAAAAUACUAUGAUAGAAUUUCAUUAUGAUGAUGAAGUUCAUUUCAAAA